rnacentral:misc_RNA from 1 species
GUUGGUGAACCAGCGGAGGGAUCAUUACCGAGUUUACAACUCCCAAACCCUUUGUGAACCUUACCAUAUCGUUGCUUCGGCGGGUCUCGCCCCGGCGCCCCCGGGCCCGGAACCAGGCGCCCGCCGGAGACCCCAAACUCUCAUGUCUUUAGUGGUUUUCUCCUCUGAGUGUCACAUAAACAAAUAAAUAAAAACUUUCAACAACGGAUCUCUUGGUUCUGGCAUCGAUGAAGAACGCAGCAUCUGACUG